rnacentral:rRNA from 1 species
GAAUAUUGGACAAUGGGGGAAACCCUGAUCCAGCCAUCCCGCGUGCAGGAUGACGGCCCUCUGGGUUGUAAACUGCUUUUAUUAGGGAAGAAACCUUCGGAUUUAUCCGAAGCUGACGGUACCUAAAGAAUCAGCACCGGCUCACCCCGUGCCAGCAGCCGCGGUAAUACGGAGGGUGCAAGCGUUAUCCGGAUUUACUGGGUUUAAAGGGUCCGCAGGCGGGUUCUUAAGUCAGUGGUGAAAGCCUGGAGCUCAACUCCGGAAUUGCCAUUGAUACUGGGAACCUUGAGUACUGUUGAGGUGGGCGGAAUGGGUCAUGUAGCGGUGAAAUGCUUAGAUAUGACCCAGAACACCGAUUGCGAAGGCAGCUCACUAAACAGUAACUGACGCUCAGGGACGAAAGCGUGGGGAGCGAACAGG